rnacentral:pre_miRNA from 1 species
UAAAUACCCCCUCCGUCCGAAAAUACUUGUCAUCAAAAUGGAUAAAAAGAGAUGUAUCUCAAACUAAAAUACGUCUAGAUACAUUUCCUUUUAUCCAUUUUGAUGACAAGUAUUUUCGGACGGGGGGAGUAUUUG